rnacentral:SRP_RNA from 1 species
GGGUAUAGUGAGCAUAUAGUUUAACAAAUAAGCCUAAUUAUGUCAGGAUUGUAAAAUAGCAGCAUACGGUUUAAUUGAUAAAUUAGUAUUCUUACUAUGCCUACUAAU